UGCAAUAAACCCUGGAAACAGUGGUGGUCCUGCCUUCAAUGAUCGUGGUGAGUGUAUUGGUGUGGCAUUCCAGGUUUUCAGAUCCGAAGACACUGAAAAUAUUGGAUAUGUUAUUCCAGCCACUAUGGUUUCUCAUUUUCUUGAUGAUUAUGAAAGAAAUGGGAAGUAUACUGG